CUACGGGUGGCUCCAGUGGGGAAUAUUGGACAAUGGGGGAAACCCUGAUCCAGCAAUGCCGCGUGUGUGAAGAAGGCCUGCGGGUUGUAAAGCACUUUCGGUUGGGAGGACUGCUUCUAGCACUAAUAUUGUUGGAAGUUGACGUUACCUUCAGAAGAAGCACCGGCUAACUCCGUGCCAGCAGCCGCGGUAAUACGGAGGUGCAAGCGUUAAUCGGAAUUACUGGGCGUAAAGCGCGCGUAGGCGGCUAGAUCAGUCGGGUGUGAAAGCCCCGGGCUUAACCUGGGAACUGCAUCCGAUACUGUCUAGAUUGAGUACAGGAGAGGAGAGUGGAAUUCCACAUGUAGCGGUGAAAUGCGUAGAUAUGUGGAGGAACACCAAUGGCGAAGGCAGCUCUCUGGCCUGAUACUGACGCUGAGGUGCGAAAGCGUGGGGAGCAAACAGGAUUAGAUACCCCAGUAGUC
rnacentral:rRNA from 1 species